AACGAACGCUGGCGGCAGGCCUAACACAUGCAAGUCGAACGCUCUAGCAAUAGGGAGUGGCGCACGGGUGAGUAACGCGUAGGAAUCUACCCAUUAGCCUGGGAUAACAGCGGGAAACUGCUGCUAAUACCAGAUACGCCCCUCACGGGGGAAAGGUUUACUACUAAUGGAUGAGCCUGCGUUAGAUUAGCUAGUUGGUGAGGUAAUGGCUCACCAAGGCUCCGAUCUAUAGCCGGUCUGAGAGGACGAUCGGCCACACUGGGACUGAGACACGGCCCAGACUCCUACGGGGGGCAGCAGUGGGGAAUAUUGGGCAAUGGGCGCAAGCCUGACCCAGCCAUGCCGCGUGAGUGAUGAAGGCCUUAGGGUUGUAAAGCUCUUUUAGUAGUGAAGAUGAUGACAGUAACUACAGAAAAAGCCCCGGCUAACUUCGUGCCAGCCGCCGCCGUAACAC
rnacentral:rRNA from 1 species